rnacentral:rRNA from 1 species
UUACCUAUACAAGAAGCACCGGCUAACUCCGUGCCAGCAGCCGCGGUAAUACGGAGGGUGCAAGCGUUAAUCGGAAUUACUGGGCGUAAAGCGUGCGUAGGCGGUUAUUUAAGUCAGAUGUGAAAGCCCUGGGCUUAACCUGGGAACUGCAUUUGAUACUGGAUGACUAGAGUUGAGUAGAGGAGAGUGGAAUUUCAGGUGUAGCGGUGAAAUGCGUAGAGAUCUGAAGGAACACCAGUGGCGAAUGCGGCUCUCUGGACUCAAACUGACGCUGAGGUACGAAAGCGUGGGUAGCAAACAGGAUUAGAUACCCUGGUAGUCCACGCCGUAAACGAUGUCAACUAACCGUUGGGUUCUUUAAGAACUUAGUGGUGGAGCUAACGUAUUAAGUUGACCGCCAUGGGGGAGUACGGNCGCAAAGGCUAAAACUCAAAUGAAUUGACG